AUUACGAAAAAAAAAACAAAAAAACUCCUAGCAAGUAAAAAAUGACAAUGGACUAAUUUCGAAAUAAAUUAUACUUGAUGGACCAAAACUACAUUUUGCAUAAACAGAGGAACAUUUGCUUUUGAAAAUCAGACUGUUGAAGUGGACCAUGGACUCGAACUUCGUCGUUUCUCAAGCUUCACCGGGGUCCGAAGGCCGAAGCUCGCCGUGACGAUGUCAAUGCCGCAUCCAUUCACCAUAUCUGCAUAAGCAUCGUCUGUGAGGCUGGAUCCUGAGGAGAUAUCAGCAAAACUGACUGGUUAUGAAAGAAAACACGACGCAGUCACAUGUAUUGGCAUGAGGACCUACAUACCGGUGAUUUAGGAUGAAGCAAUCACCAACCUCAAACCUGACUUCUUCUGGUUUGGAGUUGAUGAGAUUGAUCUUAAACUGGGGAUCAGAAUUCCUCAAUUUCAUUAAAACAUCCAUUGUCAACUGUAGUAAAAAAAAUCCCCAUUUUAAUGAAGUCGGACUCAAUUAGUUUACAGGCUGUUGACGUGAUUGUGAUUCGUCAAUAGUUGGGUUCGUCCCACUUCCAUUCUGAUCUCUGGUUAAAAAUAGAGGGAUCCCAACCAUCCUACGGCAUCCUGGUGGUGGAAUGAGCAACAUAGUUACCACAUCUCAAUACUGAUUGAUUGCAAAAGGAUCGAACUGCAGCUGCAAGCCCAAUUGUCCUGCGCUCAGGUUUUGUAGGGAGAUGAAGGUAGAACAUGCAGGUGCUUGGAUAUGCUCAUCCUUCACUACAUUUUUGAAGAUAUUGACGGCCUCCCUAUGUCUCCUCCUUCCUUUAAACUUCUCAAUCACCAUGGCCCCACUCGGAUUUAGACACAGAGGCGGAUUCAGAACUUAAUAUUUUACGUUUUAAUUGUUAACUCGUUAAUUUGAAAUUAUGAGUUCAUAUUUAAUCAACAAUAACAUGUCCAGUGAGAUUCCAUGAGUAGAGUUUGGAGAGAGUGAUCGAGUUGUAUGCCGACCUAAGUUACUAGAGAGUAGAGAGAGUGGUUGCAAUGUAACACCUUCUUGUUUGUGAUUAAUUAGUUACUCUACGUGAUAUUUUUAUGAUAAAAUUGAAUGACUUUUCAUUACAAAAAGAUUAAUAGUUUACUCACUUUAAUUAAUUUCUAAGAUAUGAAUCAUGCAAAGCUGAAUGAUGAUAAAAGUGUGCUAGCUAGUAACAUAUUGUGUAUAUUAUUAUAAAGUAUGCUAAUAUUUUUACAUAAUUGAAAAGAAUAUUGUUUGAGCUAGUUGAUCUACCGACAAAACUCUAGUCCUAGUUCAAAUUUUAGAAGUCAAGGAUAUACAAAAAGCUUAACAAAAA